AUGUUAGACCCAACCAGAAAGUACCAGAACAUUCUAGCUGAAGACUGCAAGGGGGGCCAAAUGUCCAUCUGCCUUUCUUCUUUAGGAGAUUACCGAUAUAGGAAAUACCACCCAGAGGCAACUCUCUCUCAGAUCACAAACAACCUUGACCCCUGUGGGAAGAAUUCAAAGGCGCACUAGGAGAACGCUGAGGGGGCACUUGGCCAAGAUCUAUGCUAUGCCCUGGGGCACAGACUCCAGGCUUCUUGUCAGUGCCUCACAGCAUGGUAAACUUAUCAUCUGGGAUGGCUACACCACAAACAAGGUCCACGCAAUCCCUCUGCGCUCCUCCUGGGUCAUGACUUGUGCAUAUGCAGCUUCUGGGAACUAUGUGGCCUGCAGGGGUUUGGAUAACAUUUGUUCCAUUUACAAUCUGAAAACUCGUGAAGGGAAUGUACGUGAGUCGUGAGCUGGCGGGACAUACAGGUUACUUGUCCUGCUGCUGGUUCUUUGAUGACAAUCAGAUCGUCACCAGCUCUGGAGACACCACAUGUGCCCUGUGGGCCAUUGAGACCCAGCAGACAGACACAUUCACUGGACACACUGGAGAUGUCGUGAGCCUUUCUCUUGCUCCUGACACCAGACUGUUUGUCUCUGGUGCUUGUGAUGCUUCAGCCAAGCUCUGGGAUGUUCGAGAAGGGAUGUGCCGACAGACUUUCACUGGCCACGAGUCUGACAUCAAUGCCGUCUGUUUCUUUCCAAAUGGCAAUGCAUUUGCCACGGGCUCAGAUGAUGCCACCUGCAGGCUGUUUGACCUCCGUGCAGACCAGGAGCUCAUGACUUACCCCCACGACAUAUCCAGCCCUACUAAUGUGGACACCCUACACCUCCCCUCAGAACUACAAAAGGGCAAAAUCCUUUUUCCUUCAUUUAUUGCUGAAACCAAGAGAACAAUUCCCAUUAAGAGAAGGAUCUCUGUGCUGUAA